rnacentral:siRNA from 1 species
CUAGAGAAGAUAAUGAUGAUGCU